GAGAUAUUAGUAAAAACAAUACAUUGCCUUGUCAAGGCAAAAUUGUGAGUGAAACUCUCACAUAUCUUG
rnacentral:tRNA from 1 species